GAUGAACGCUGGCGGCGUGCCUAAUACAUGCAAGUCGAGCGAACAGACGAGGAGCUUGCUCCUCUGACGUUAGCGGCGGACGGGUGAGUAACACGUGGAUAACCUACCUAUAAGACUGGGAUAACUUCGGGAAACCGGAUCUAAUACCGGAUAAUAUAUUGAACCGCAUGGUUCAAUAGUGAAAGACGGUUUUGCUGUCACUUAUAGAUGGAUCCGCGCCGCAUUAGCUAGUUGGUAAGGUAACGGCUUACCAAGGCAACGAUGCGUAGCCGACCUGAGAGGGAGAUCGGCCACACUGGAUGUGAGACACGGCCCAGACACCGACGGGAGGACGCAGUAGGGAAUCUUACGCGAUGGGGGAAAGGCGGACGGAGCAACGUCGCGGGAGUGAUGAAGGACUUCGGCUCGGAAAGCUAUGUUAGUCGUAAAGAACAAAUGUGUAAGUAACUAGGAACGUAUUGACGGUACCUAAUCAGAAAGCCACGGCUAACUACGUG
rnacentral:rRNA from 1 species